CCGAUUGAGGCAGGUCAGUGUCAAUGCACUUUAAUGACGUUCGCAACUCAUCCUCCGUUGCGCCAACAAGCAAGCAGCUCUCUACCGCAAUAAUAUUUCUCAGCUUCGACCGACCGGAAGAUCGUGUAUGCGAUGAUGAUUUUUCUUUUUCCGUAUUUUCUCAUCGCGUAGAUACGAUAUUUUCUACGAAACUCAUUUAUACCGUCGUCAUCCGUCCGGUAUUCGGAGAGCGGAAAAAAAAAUUCAAACUUUUUCCGUUUUUUUUCCCCCGUCCCCGUUCACUGCCGACCACCACGACGACGACGACAGACACGGCUGCCGGAAAGCUACGCAGAACGACGACGAAAGACACGGUCGGAAAUCAUGACAAUUUCAACGUGGCGGCGAUCGACUAUACCUAAUGCGAAAUAAUCUGCGAACGCGGCGGUGGCCUCGGAGCCGGCAGUAGUAGCGGUGGCGGCGACGGUGGAAGCGGCGGUGGCGGUGGUGGCGACGGCGGCGGCGGCGGCGGCGUUGUCUAGGUUAUGGCUGGCGCGCACUUGCAGGGGUGAGAGUUCAACGUCCCCGGGCCGGUCAUCCACCGCAAAAGCGCCUUCCCCUCAUUUGGGCGCGGUGUCGAAGGGGUGAACGACUCGCCGACCACGGGUUGGGGUAGUUAAACAAGGAUAUGAAAACUAUCACAACCACACCAUCACAGCACCACGCAGAAUUCAGAAUUGCAGUAGGCUACCUAUACUACGUAUCAAAACUUCUAAUUGUUAGGAAAUCUAUACAAUAAUAUUUUUUUUUGUGAAACAUUGUACCCUAAAAAUGUUAAAAUAAUUUUAUUAAUAGUAACUAAUGUUAAUAGAAAAUAUAUUAAACUGGUAAAUGUAAUAUUGCAUCCGCCAUCCAAUAACAUCCAACGUGUCAGUUAAUAGAGUGAGGGAGAUAGUUACUUUAGACGUUAACUAAUCCUUUGAAUUUUUUUUUAACUGGAAUAUUAUUUAUUAUAUGAUUUAUAUGUAUUUAAUACUUUUAAUAAUAAUGUUGUUAUUAUAGCUACAAUUUUAAAUGUUUAAUACAUAAUUAUUUCAAAAUAAAUCCCCUAAAUAUAAUGGGGCCGGGAGUAUAUAAUAACUAUUACUUCCACCCGUUAAAUACAACGCGUCGACGCUGGUAGUUAUAUUAUAUUUAAUUAUAUAUUAAUAUAAUAUUGUAUACUAUUACUUUUAUUAUAAGUAUAUAUUCAUAAGUUGAUAAAAUAUGUUGUUAUUAUUGUUAUUAUGUAACAAUAGCUAUAUGCCUAUAAUAUGUUGUUAAUUGUUAUUAAUACGUUAAAAUCUAAAUCAAAGAUCGUAGGCUUCGCUAUCAUAAAUAAGAACACAUAUUAAGACAAACUCAAAUGCAUUUAUGAAAAAAGUGACAGGUCUUUUUUGUACCAAUUAAGUUUUUUGUUAUAACUUGCAAGUGUAUUGUAAUUUAUAAUUAAUUAAAUUAUUUAUUUUUUUAAACAUAUUCUGUAAUAUUUUAUUGUAAUUAUUAGUUAUUUAUUUAUAUUUAU